rnacentral:lncRNA from 1 species
UCGAGGUUAGGAAAUAAAUUUGGUCGAUGCCUUGAUUGGAUUCUGCAGCAGGUGCAGUAGAUGGGAUAGCUAACAAGUGAGGUUGGCUAUCAUCAAGGUUAGAAUUAGGUAUCACUAAGCUCAAAGUGACGGCACCACCUAUUUUUGAUGGAUCCCGUCCCGUGAGCCUAAUAAAGUCCUAAAUUGGUUCGUUCACCAACAUAGAUUGCAUUGACCAAGAGAAGGUCUGCCUUGCCCCCUAUCAACUUGUCACACCCCCAGCCC